GAUGAAGAACGCAGCGAAAUGCGAUAAGUAAUGUGAAUUGCAGAAUUCAGUGAAUCAUCGAAUCUUUGAACGCACAUUGCGCCCGCCAGUAUUCUGGCGGGCAUGCCUGUUCGAGCGUCAUUUCAACCAUCAAGCCCUGCUUGCGUUGGGGCCCUGCGGCUGCCCGCAGGCCCUGAAAACCAGUGGCGGGCUCGCUAGUCACACCGAGCGCAGUAAUACAUCUCGCUUUGGGCGUGCGGCGGGUUCUUGCCGUUAAACACCCCCUUUUUACCAAGGUUGACCUCGGAUCAGGUAGGAAUACCCGCUGAACUUAAGCAUAUCAAUAAGCGGAGGA
rnacentral:misc_RNA from 1 species